rnacentral:rRNA from 1 species
CCUACGGGAGGCAGCAGUGGGGAAUAUUGCACAAUGGGGGAAACCCUGAUGCAGCAACGCCGCGUGAAGGAAGACGGUUUUCGGAUUGUAAACUUCUAUCAAUAGGGAAGAAAGAAAUGACGGUACCUAAAUAAGAAGCCCCGGCUAACUACGUGCCAGCAGCCGCGGUAAUACGUAGGGGGCAAGCGUUAUCCGGAAUUACUGGGUGUAAAGGGAGAGUAGGCGGCAAGGUAAGCGAGAUGUGAAAGCCUUAAGCUUAACUUAAGGAUGGCAUAAAGAACUAUCUAGCUAGAGUACAGGGGAGGCAAGCGGAAGUCCUGGUGUAGCGGUGAAAUGCGUAGAUAUUAGGAAGAACACCGGUGGCGAAGGCGGCUUUCUGGACUGAAACUGACGCUGAGGCUCGAAAGCGUGGGGAGCGAACAGGAUUAGAUACCCUAGUAGUC